rnacentral:rRNA from 1 species
GAUGAACGCUGGCGGCGUGCCUAAUACAUGCAAGUCGAGCGAACAGACGAGGAGCUUGCUCCUCUGACGUUAGCGGCGGACGGGUGAGUAACACGUGGAUAACCUACCUAUAAGACUGGGAUAACUUCGGGAAUCCGGAGCUAAUACCGGAUAAUAUAUUGAACCGCAUGGUUCAAUAGUGAAAGACGGUUUUGCUGUCACUUAUAGAUGGAUCCGCGCCGCAUUAGCUAGUUGGUAAGGUAACGGCUUACCAAGGCAACGAUGCGUAGCCGACCUGAGAGGGGGAUCGGCCAACCUGGAACUGAGACACGGUCCAGACUCCUAAGGGAGGCAGCAGUAGGGAAUCUUCCGCAAUGGGCGAAAGCCUGACGGAGCAACGCCGCGUGAGGGAUGAAGGUCUUCGGAUCGUAAAACUCUGUUAUUAGGGAAGAACAAAUGUGUAAGUAACUAUGCACGUCUUGACGGUACCUAAUCAGAAAGCCACGGCUAACUACGUG